CUGGAUCCCUCCGCAACUAGGUACCAUCUGCCCCUAGCCGACGACGUCCAUGGUGGACACCACGUCCUAGGUGUUUGGUCAAAUGCCAUUAAGCUUUUUUGUUGAACUUCUUGUUGUUUUCAAGAGUAAGCACGAUGGCAGGAAUUCAAGGGGCUUGAUCUUUUGGCAACGCGUGCAUGGCUCCUUUCAUGUACAAAAGAACUUCACGCCCUACAACAUACACAUCAUUCAGGAACACAAAUGUGAAGUCGAUAUCGCAUCGAUGGAAAUGGCCGAGGUGGGCCCACCGGCCAAAC